rnacentral:rRNA from 1 species
GACGAACGCUGGCGGCGUGCUUAACACAUGCAAGUCGAACGGAAAGGCCCUGCUUGUGUGGGGUGCUCGAGUGGCGAACGGGUGAGUAACACGUGAGUAACCUGCCCUAGACUUUGGGGUAACUUCAGGAAACUGGGGCUAAUACCGUAUAGGAGCUCCUGCUGCAGGGUGGGCGUGGGAACGUUUCGGCGGUUGGGGAUGGACUGGCGGCUUAUCAGCUUGUUGGUGGGGUAGUGGCUGACCAAGGCUUUGACGGGUAGCCGGCCUGAGAGGGUGACCGGCCACAUUGGGACUGAGAUACGGCCCAGACUCCUACGGGAGGCAGCAGUGGGGAAUAUUGCACAAUGGGCGGAAGCCUGAUGCAGCAACGCCGCGUGCGGGAUGACGGCCUUCGGGGUGUAAACCGCUUUCGCCUGUGACGAAGCGGGAGUGACGGUAAUGGGUAAAGAAGCACCGGCUAACUACGUG